rnacentral:rRNA from 1 species
UGGGGAAUAUUGCACAAUGGGCGCAAGCCUGAUGCAGCCAUGCCGCGUGUGUGAAGAAGGCCUUCGGGUUGUAAAGCACUUUCAGCGGGGAGGAAGGCGUUAAGGUUAAUAACCUUGGCGAUUGACGUUACCCGCAGAAGAAGCACCGGCUAACUCCGUGCCAGCAGCCGCGGUAAUACGGAGGGUGCAAGGGUUAAUCGGAAUUACUGGGCGUAAAGCGCACGCAGGCGGUCUGUCAAGUCGGAUGUGAAAUCCCCGGGUUCAACCUGUGAACUGCAUUCGAAACUGGCAGGCUGGAGUCUGGUAGAGGGGGGUAGAAUUCCAGGUGUAGGGGGGAAAUGCGUAGAGAUCUGGAGGAAUACCGGUGGCGAAGGCGGCCCCCUGGACAAAGACUGACGCUCAGGUGGGAAAGCGGGGGGGGCAAACAGG